AAGCAACUUGCCCAAAUCGUACUGCUAGGAAAAGACCAGCCUCUUUACACAGGCACACACCCCCUCCUUUUAAUACCUUUGGAGAUGAAUAUCUGGCAUCUGAGAGGAAAUGCUGCAUUUUCUACCCAUGCGCCUCUUUUCUGUUGAAUUUACCAUCAGCUCCAAAGAACAGCGAGGGUCCCAGCGUUGUAGAAGCCCAGACUCAGGCUCGUGUACCCCAUGUGUAGCUG
rnacentral:lncRNA from 1 species